rnacentral:rRNA from 1 species
AGACCUUCGGGUCUAGUGGCGCACGGGUGCGUAACGCGUGGGAAUCUGCCCUUGGGUUCGGGAUAACAGUUGGAAACGACUGCUAAUACCGGAUGAUGACUACGGUCCAAAGAUUUAUCGCCCAGGGAUGAGCCCGCGUCGGAUUAGCUUGUUGGUGAGGUAAAAGCUCACCAGGGCGACGAUCCGUAGCUGGUCUGAGAGGAUGAUCAGCCACACUGGGACUGAGACACGGCCCAGACUCCUACGGGAGGCAGCAGUGGGGAAUAUUGGACAAUGGGCGAAAGCCUGAUCCAGCAAUGCCGCGUGAGUGAUGAAGGCCUUAGGGUUGUAAAGCUCUUUUACCCGGGAUGAUAAUGACAGUACCGGGAGAAUAAGCUCCGGCUAACUCCGUGCCAGCAGCCGCGGUAAUACGGAGGGAGCUAGCGUUG